rnacentral:rRNA from 1 species
UACGUAGGUGGCAAGCAUUAUCCGGAUUUACUGGGCGUAAAGGGUGCGUAGGCGGAUUUUUAAGUGAGAUGUGAAAUACCCGGGCUUAACCUGGGGGCUGCAUUUCAAACUGGAAAUCUAGAGUGCAGGAGAGGAAAGUGGAAUUCCUAGUGUAGCGGUGAAAUGCGUAGAGAUUAGGAAGAACACCAGUGGCGAAGGCGACUUUCUGGACUGUAACUGACGCUGAGGCACGAAAGCGUGGGGAGCAAACAGG